UGGUCAGUAGUGAGUCAGUAGAGAUCAGCAGUGGUCAGUAGUGAUUAGUAGUGAUUAGUAGUGAUUAGUAGUGAUCAGUAGUGAGUCAGUAGUGAGUCAGUAGAGAUCAGCAGUGGUCAGUAGUGAUUAGUAGUGAUUAGUAGUGAUUAGUAGUGAUCAGUAGUGAGUCAGUAGUGAGUCAGUAGAGAUCAGCAGUGGUCAGUAGUGAUUAGUAGUGAUUAGUAGUG